AUUGAACGCUGGCGGCAUGCCUUACACAUGCAAGUCGAACGGCAGCGCGGACUUCGGUCUGGCGGCGAGUGGCGAACGGGUGAGUAAUACACCGGAACGUACCCUGUUGUGGGGGAUAACUAGUCGAAAGAUUAGCUAAUACCGCAUACGACCUGAGGGUGAAAGUGGGGGACCGCAAGGCCUCACGCAGCAGGAGCGGCCGAUGUCUGAUUAGCUAGUUGGUGGGGUAAAGGCCCACCAAGGCGACGAUCAGUAGCUGGUCUGAGAGGACGAUCAGCCACACUGGGACUGAGACACGGCCCAGACUCCUACGGGAGGCAGCAGUGGGGAAUUUUGGACAAUGGGGGCAACCCUGAUCCAGCAAUGCCGCGUGUGUGGAGAAGGCCUUCGGGUUGUAAAGCACUUUUGUCCGGAAAGAAAUCGCGCUGGUUAAUACCUGGCGUGGAUGACGGUACCGGAAGAAUAAGCACCGGCUAACUACGUGCCAGCCGCCGCCGUAA
rnacentral:rRNA from 1 species